rnacentral:miRNA from 1 species
UGUGUGUGUGUGUGUGUGUAUGUUUGUGUGUAUAUAUACAUACAUAUAUACACACAUACAUACACACACACACACAUACA